rnacentral:misc_RNA from 1 species
CUCCAGUACUCAUUCCUGCCCCCUUCCAACCCCUCCGAUCUCCUCCGAUGGCCGCCACCGCCUCCGCCGCCGGCGGAACCUUAGCCCUAGCCGCCGUCGCGCUGAUCCUUCUGGCGGCGCCGGCGUCGGCCAAUUCCGAGGGCGACGCCCUCUACGCCCUUCGCCGCAGCUUGUCGGAUCCGGAGAACGUGCUCCAGAGCUGGGAUCCGACGCUCGUAAACCCCUGCACCUGGUUCCACAUCACCUGCAACCAG